CCUACGGUUGGCUGCAGUGGGGAAUAUUGGACAAUGGGCGAAAGCCUGAUCCAGCCAUGCCGCGUGUGUGAAGAAGGCCUUCGGGUUGUAAAGCACUUUCAGUGGGGAAGAAAGCCUUGGGGCUAAUACCCUCGAGGAAGGACAUCACCCACAGAAGAAGCACCGGCUAACUCCGUGCCAGCAGCCGCGGUAAGACGGAGGGUGCGAGCGUUAAUCGGAAUUACUGGGCGUAAAGCGCGCGUAGGCGGUCUGAUAAGCCGGUUGUGAAAGCCCCGGGCUCAACCUGGGAACGGCAUCCGGAACUGGCAGGCUAGAGGACAGGAGAGGAAGGUAGAAUUCCCGGUGUAGCGGUGAAAUGCGUAGAGAUCGGGAGGAAUACCAGUGGCGAAGGCGGUCAUCUGGACUGACACUGACGCUGAGGUGCGAAAGCGUGGGUAGCAAACAGGAUUAGAUACCCCGGUAGUC
rnacentral:rRNA from 1 species